GGGCUUUUCCAUUUCACAUGGCCAUACACUCAGGUGUCUAAUGGCCUCCAGCUCAGGGCUGUCCAUGUGAGAAGUGAAUCUGAGAAGAGAAGGGCAAGGGCAGACACUUAAACAGAGAGAAGAGUUUCUCACAGAGCAUGGCCUCUGCCAAAGAAGAUGGCGUGGAUGAAAGAAUGGUGGACAUUAAAGAAGAGGACUGUGAGUGGCUCACAACAGAGGAUGUGUGUGUGAAGCUGGAGGAUCAUGAAGAAAGAAUUUCAGUUUUUAAAGAGGAGGAGGAGUGCAAGGGGGUGACUGCUGCCAUUAAAGCUGAGGAUUUGAAUGAUUUCUCCAUUGGUCUUGAACUUCAAAAGCAUGAAAUUGAGAAUAUUUACAAACAAGAUGCCUGUGAAGAAUCUCCAUCCAGUUUACAGCCCUGGUCCACUAAUACGGGACGACUGGCUACACAGGAGAAUUCGGCAGAGCUGAAAUCAGAGUUAUCGGAGUCUGAAGAGAAAAUCACCGAGGGAAAUGGGAGAGAAGGAGAAGAGUCACCUGGGAGUGUUGGAAUAAAUUUACAGAAGAAUGGCAGCUUCUCUCCACCUUCAUUUGGUCAGCGCUCUCUUCAAUGCAAAGAGAAAGGUAUGAAGAAAUCAGCAAGACGAUCAGAGACCCUGACAGCAGCCUUUUUGCAGUGCAGUUCUCUACCUGUUACUGGAGUAACACAGACAGAAGACAUCAAAACUGACCGACAGCAAGUGGAGAAAGAAAUUCAAAUUAAUCCUGGAAAAAAAUGUUGUUUGGAAUGUGGCAAACAAUUCGCACGGAAAAGUCAUCUAAAUAAGCAUAUGAAGAUUCACACUGGAGAAAAACCAUAUUGUUGUCAUGAAUGUGGUAAAUCAUUCUUAAGGAGAAGCUGUCUUCAAAGACACAGAAUAAUUCACACAGGAGAAAAACCUCAUUGCUGUCCUGAAUGUGGUAAGUCAUUCUCACGUAUAAGUAGUCUUCAGAGGCACAUAACAAUCCACAUAGGAGAAAAACCUCAUUGUUGUCCAGAAUGUGGUAAUUCAUUCUCACAAAUAAGCGUUCUUAAGAUGCACAGAAGAAUUCACACAGGAGAAAAACCUCAUUGCUGUCCAGAAUGUGGUAAGUCAUUCUCACGUAUAAGCAGUCUUCAUAGGCACAGAAGAAUCCACACAGGAGAAAAACCUCAUUGUUUUCCAGAAUGUGGUAAAUCGUUCUCAUGGAGAAGUGAAUUUCAGUUGCACAAAACAAUUCACAUAGGAGAAAAACCUCAUUACUGUUCAGAAUGUGGCAAGUCCUUCUCAAGGAGCAGCAAUCUUCAGAGUCAUAGAAGAAUCCACACAGGAGAGAAACCUCAUUGUUGUCCAGAAUGUGGUAAGUCGUUCUCACGUAUAAGCAGUCUUCAGAGGCACAGAAGAAUCCACACAGGAGAAAAACCUCAUUGUUGUGAAGAAUGUGGCAAACAGUUUUCUGACAAACGCAGUUCUCAAAGGCACACACAAAUUCAUACUGGAGAGAAGCCAUAUUGCUGUUCUCAAUGUGGAAAAAGGUUUUUCAACAUUAGCAGUUUACAAAGGCACGCAAAAACUCACAAUGGAGAGAAAAAGCAGUAUGUAUGUUCUGAAUAUGGCAAAUGUAUUGAAAGACAGAACGUUCUUCUUUCACAUACCACAAUCCAUAAUGAAGAAAAAUCUUAUGGCUGUUCUGAAUGAGGGAAACGAUUCUUAUAUUUAUGCUCACUUCAGUCCAUCAUCUGAACUCACAGUGGCGAGAAACCUUAUUGUUGUCCUCAAUGUGAUGAGCAGUUCUCACAACAAAGUACCCUACCGAGUCACAUCAGACUUCACACUGGACAGAAACCUCACAGUUGCUUGGAGUGUGGCAAACAAUUCUCACGCCUUAAUUCUCUUUAUAAUCACAUGAGAAGUCAUACGGGACAGAAGCCUUAUAGUUGUAGUGAAUGUGGAAUGUGGUUCUCAUAUAACAAUGCUCUUCACAAUCAUAACGUGAUUCAUUCUUGUAAGAAAGUAAGCUGUUCUGAAUGUGGCAAGCUUUUCUCAGACUGCAGGACCCUUAAAGACAACAUGAGAAUUCACUCUGGAGAGAAACCUUAUUGCUGGCCAGAGUGUGGCAAACGAUUCUCACGUCCAAGUACACUUCGGUGCCACAGAAGGAUUCCCACUGGAGAGAAGCAGUACACCUGUUCUGAAUGUGGUAAAGGGUUCUCUUUUAGAAGAAAUUUUCUGAGACACACACAAAGUCAUAUUGGAGUAAAGCCUGUCCAAGAAAUUUCAAAUGAUAUUUCUUUUGGCUGCACAGGCAAAAUAAAAAAUAAACAAAAAUCUUCGGAAUGCGGUAAAGGACUCCAUUUUAAAGUAGUUAAUAGGUACAUAAAAGAAACAGAGAAAACACAGAAAGUGGCAAACAGAUCGUAGAUGUAAGGUAACCUCAGAGCCACAUAUGAAUUCACACUGGAGUGAACACACUGCAAUACAACACAUAUUUCACAAACAGUAAGAAUCUUCUUCAACAACUUAGAGAUGCAAGAAAAAAAAUCUCAUUGUUGUCCUAAAUGUGGUUAACGCUUUUCAGACAGCAGUGGUCUUCAUUGUCAUAAAUGACUGUCUUACUUGUGGUAAUCCUGUUAGCUGUUCUGAAUGUUGAAAGUGGUCCUCCUGUAACAGCAAUCAUCAGCAACGCGUAAGAUUUCAUGAAGGACUCAGAAACUGUACUGCCAGGACGUCAACCAUACAGGGACUGCUCAUCUCUGCACCAGUGCUGUGACAUAAGAUGGUGAACAAUACAAACACCAGACAACAGAAUGAGGUAGCAACAGUACUGUGCGGUGAUAACAACUUCAACCACAGAACACAACUGAAAAAUUCAAUGUACUAAUAAAGAAAUGGAGAAGUCAAAUCAAAUCCACAGUGCAGUGCCAACUACCAGGAGGUGCCACUGACAACAAGGGGAAUAUUUUUGUUUCGGAGCUUUGGAGAUGGGGCCUUAUCUGAGUAGCCAUGAACUUGUACCGUCUCUGGGAUGUCAUCUGAUGGCUGACGCCUGGGCUGAGUGCAGACAACCGUUCUUAACCCUGAUAAUGAAGAAAUCAUUUAGUGAUGUCAGCUGACAGCCAAUGCUGUCCAAUCAGAUACUGGGGAGGGACAGUCGAGGAGGACAGGAGACUAAAAAGAGAGCCGUCACAUGACAGACCAAUGUAGAGGGGCUUUAUAAGACUUUAACACUAAUUUAGGUUAUCAUUUAUAAAUAAUAAGAGUCUUUACAAACCAAACACAUUCAUCAGCUGUGUGUCAAGGGUGAGUCCAAAAGUGAGAAUUUAAGAAGAUCUAAAUACAAAUAAAAUGAAACAUUCAGGGUUCAAAGAGAAAUGUUUAAGACCUGAAGAGAGCGUCACAAUGGCAUGCUAGGGUUAGCGCAGGGGACCACAGGUGUGAAGAAUAUCAAUUAAUGUGUAUAAGGAAUAAUAUUUAAAAUAAUAAUAAUAAUUUUAUGAGAAAUGGGACACCAUAAUGAAUGCAAAACACAAUUAAAAUGAAAUGAACUGAUUUUAUUGUCUGACAUAUAAGAGAAAAAGGGAAGACAAAGCAGGAACACACAGAGAUCUCUGCUGACCCAGCUGUUAAUUUGAUAAAUUAACAUAAAAAUAUAACGGAUGUUACUUUGCUCCAUGUCAGUAUAUCCUGUGGUGGUGUGUGAAGGACCCUCUAUACUCCGAAUGUGUUGGUUCAGGUUUCAGUUUGACUUCAGCACCUUCUUCAUAUCGAUACCCAAGACAACGUUUCUUCACGUUGAGACUACAAGCUGGAGGCCACAGGAGCUCAAUAAACUCCAACAGCAGGAUGGACGAUUAGAAAGCUCUGCUCUGAGAGAGUGUCAGCUGCACAAAGCUUCAGCUUCAUUUACUUGACAGAAAUCUUCCAAAAAGCAGAAGUGGCCCCUUCUGUACCCCCACCACUGAAGGGCACAUCUGACCCCUCACUACUUGGCGUUGGUUCACUCUGCUGUUACUUUCUGUAUUUUAUAAGUUUAUGUUUCAUUUUUUGGCCACACUCUUUUUACAUUUCAUGUCAUUGAUGUUCUCAAAUGUGUGAGUAUAGCUUGACUCUUACAAGGACUUAUCUAAAAAGGGUACAUUGGCUAUGAAAUGCAAGAAGGCAGAAAAAUAUAAAAAGUGGAAACCACAAAAUGAAGAGGUGACAUCGAUGAAAUACGCUCAGUGGCAGAGGUGACGAGGACAAAAUCAGAAA